AACCCUGGCCCUCUGGUCAUGAGAGUUAUCACACUUGCUUAUCCUCUCCUUUGGGAACCAAGUUCAGAAAGCUGCAACUCCUUCUAUAACAUUUACUGAAUCUGAGAGCCCUUUCUCUCCUAUGAACUCCAAGGAUUUUUUGAGCCCAAGAAGAACAGAAACACCACCCA
rnacentral:lncRNA from 1 species